rnacentral:tRNA from 1 species
GCAGGAGUAGCUCAGUUGGUAGAGCACCUGAUUUGUAACCAGGCGGUCGCAGGUUCGAUCCCUGUUUCCUGCA